rnacentral:rRNA from 1 species
GAUUGAACGCUGGCGGUAGGCCUAACACAUGCAAGUCGAACGGCAGCACAGUAAGAGCUUGCUCUUACGGGUGGCGAGUGGCGGACGGGUGAGGAAUACAUCGGAAUCUACUUUUUCGUGGGGGAUAACGUAGGGAAACUUACGCUAAUACCGCAUACGACCUACGGGUGAAAGCAGGGGAUCUUCGGACCUUGCGCGAUUGAAUGAGCCGAUGUCGGAUUAGCUAGUUGGCGGGGUAAAGGCCCACCAAGGCGACGAUCCGUAGCUGGUCUGAGAGGAUGAUCAGCCACACUGGAACUGAGACACGGUCCAGACUCCUACGGGAGGCAGCAGUGGGGAAUAUUGGACAAUGGGCGCAAGCCUGAUCCAGCCAUACCGCGUGGGUGAAGAAGGCCUUCGGGUUGUAAAGCCCUUUUGUUGGGAAAGAAAAGCAGCAGGUUAAUACCCCGCUGUUCUGACGGUACCCAAAGAAUAAGCACCGGCUAACUUCGUG